rnacentral:rRNA from 1 species
UACGUAGGGGGCUAGCGUUGUCCGGAAUCAUUGGGCGUAAAGAGCGUGUAGGCGGUCCGAUAAGUCCGCUCUGAAAGCCCGGGGCUCAACCCGGGAACUGCGUCCGAUACUGGCAGGCUUGAAUUCGGGAGAGGGAUGUGGAAUUCCAGGUGUAGCGGUGAAAUGCGUAGAUAUCUGGAGGAACACCGGUGGCGAAGGCGGCAUCCUGGACCGAUAUUGACGCUGAUGCGCGAAAGCCAGGGGAGCAAACGGG